AAUUCAAAUAUGGAAGGGUUUUCGAUAUUUUUUUGAGAAUCUAUUUGAUCCUUGGGGACCUACUCAGAAUGAGUGGGACUAUCUACUGUCAUUACUGAAUGCCCACAUUCAAAAAAUAAAGGGCUCCAUUAGCACUCUUAACUCAAACAUGGAGGUGUCUUCUUUCGUCUUUUGAGAAUUUACUUGAAUGAGUGAGACUAUCUACUGGCACUGUUGAGUGCCUAGGUUCAAGAAUGGAGAGCUACAUGUACCAGACUUAAUUCCUCAAGACACUCACAUAUUUGAGAUUUUACUUAUACUUUUAUUCGUUUCAAAUGGUAUGAUCACUAAGCACUCAACUUCAUGCAUACCAGCCAAUAAGUAAAUAACAACCGAAAUCAACAAAGGGGGAAGGAAAUGACUUAACCCUUCUUGUAUAAACGCGUGGAUUAUUUCAAUAAUUUAUAAUUCUUUGUGGGCAUGUACUAUUAUUUGAAAAGUCAGUAAUACAGUGUAUUUAUCUGUAUAUACAAGUGGGUAACAGAAUUUGGUAUUGUAUUCCAGUAAAGUGGUAGCAGACUGGCACAAUAAGGGUGUGAGGGUAGUUGCAUGGACUGUAAACCAUCCGGUAGAGAAACAGUACUUUUCAAAAGUUUUAAAAAUAACAUAUAUGACUGAUACUUUGACUGGAGAAAAUUCCGUUCACUUCCCUAACUAAUAGGGUCAUAGUGGUGGCGAGGUGAGUGGUAACGUAAAAAAUUGCAAGUGUACAAAUUAGAUUUUUAA